GGACCCAUGGCGCAACGGUAGCGCGUCAGAUUCCAGAAAUUGGAAGUUCCUGAAGGUUAAGCGUUCAAAUCGCUUUGGGUUCA